AGUGAACGCUGGCGGUAGGCCUAACACAUGCAAGUCGAACGGCAGCACAGUAAGAGCUUGCUCUUACGGGUGGCGAGUGGCGGACGGGUGAGGAAUACAUCGGAAUCUACUUUUUCGUGGGGGAUAACGUAGGGAAACUUACGCUAAUACCGCAUACGACCUACGGGUGAAAGCAGGGGAUCUUCGGACCUUGCGCGAUUGAAUGAGCCGAUGUCGGAUUAGCUAGUUGGCGGGGUAAAGGCCCACCAAGGCGACGAUCCGUAGCUGGUCUGAGAGGAUGAUCAGCCACACUGGAACGGGGACACGGUCCAGACUCCUACGGGAGGCAGCAGUGGGGAAUAGUGGACAAUGGGCGCAAGCCUGAUCCAGCCAUACCGCGUGGGAGAAGAAGGCCUUCGGGUUGUAAAGCCCUUUUGUUGGGAAAGAAAAGCAGCAGGUUAAUACCCCGCUGUUCUGACGGUACCCAAAGAAUAAGCACCGGCUAACUUCGUG
rnacentral:rRNA from 1 species